UUGAUUAGUGCUCUUACAACUGUCAAGGAAAUUGUUAUGUCUUUACUUUGAUGUAUAAUUGAUAUAUAAAGUAUAUUCAAACCAAAAGUAAUAACUGAUCAAUCAUUCUUGGGUUUUUCAUAACAUUUAACAAUGUCACAGUAUAAUGCCUAUUUAUGGACAAACUAGGAAGUAAGUUUAAACAACACAGUAAAAAGGAUCAAAAAUUAACGAAGUUUGUGCAAAAAUGAUGCAGAUGCCCAGUAAAUCAAUUACCAACAAAAAAAACACCAGUUACAGAGGUUUGAAGAGACAUACAGGGGUCGAAAUUGAUUGAUCUCAAAGAAAGAAAGAAAUAUGAAUACACAAAACAAAAGAGAUAUAGGCAAAAUAAAACUCGGGCUCAAGAAGGCUUUCCGAAAUAAACGCAUCGGCGUUGUACGACUAGAAAUAAAGGCUUGUCUUAUAUUAGACGAUAGACUAGUGUAUAUAGAAUGGAACAAUAAAGGUUUAUUCCUACACAGAGCCGAUGGAUCAUUUAUAGGCACGAUGACCGUCAAAAAUGAGCCAUUUGAUCUUACGCCAAUCGAUGGCAACAUAGUCGCUGUUACUUAUCCAUUUACAAAUCACUUCCAGAUCAUUGAUAUUUCAUUGAAGAAAUUCCAAGAUAUUGAAUUUCAAAAGUUUUGUUACGGUAUAAAAUGGUAUAAAAAAAGACUGUAUAUUUGCGUCGACGGAGGAGGGAUAUUGGUAGCAACAAUUAACGGAGAAAUAGAGAACAAGAUACCAGUUGAUAUUGAAAUAUCUACUCGCCUUGAUAUUGAGGGGGAUACAAUUUAUUACACAAGGACCAAAACAAGUAUGAUCUACUGUUGUGACUUGUUAGGAAAUCAGCUAUGGACAUUCAGAGAUGAACAUUACAAAAUGCCUCUCAGCAUAAGAUCAGACGGCAAGGGUUGCCUCUAUAUCACGUGGUACGAAUCCAACAAUGUCAUGGUUAUGUCAUGUGAUGGAAAAGAGCACAAGGAAUUAAAAGGAAAAACAGAUGGCAUCGAGCGUCCGAGGUGUCUUUACUACGACAAACAACGUGAUCUGUUACUUUUAUGCAAUGACUUUAGUGAUGAAUCUCUGUUAUUUAACGUCUUAUGAUCGAAUCAAAUGUACUUGAAAAUACUUGCUUUUAUUUUGUUGAAGUAUUCACAUAACAACUGGUAGUACCAUGGAGCUCGUUUUUUCACCCAUGUAAAAUUUCGCGAUUUAGGGGCAACAAAGUAUACGAACAAUUUUGGCGGUUUUUAUUUUGGCGGAUUUUUAUUUUCCUAUUAAAUAUUUUGGAGGAUACUGAAAUGGUUACAGCUAAAAAGUUGUAAAAAUUGACAGGAAGAUAACUGAAACAUAUCUGUUGCUGUAGUUCUGCAUGAAUACAAGAAAUAAAAAAAGAUUUAUAAGAAUUU